rnacentral:rRNA from 1 species
CUCGAGUGCCAGGUUACAAAUCUGGCUGUCGAGAUGCCUAAAAAGCAUUUCAUAGCAAGGGCCGGGCAAGACCGGUGCCAGCCGCCGCGGUAACACCGGCGGCUCGAGUGGUAACCGUUAUUAUUGGGUCUAAAGGGUCUGUAGCCGGCCGGAUAAGUCUCUUGAUAAAUCUGGCAGCUUAACUGUCAGGCUUUCAGGAGAUACUGUCUGGCUCGAGGCCGGGAGAGGUGAGAGGUACUUCAGGGGUAGGGGUGAAAUCUUGUAAUCCUUGAAGGACCACCAGUGGCGAAGGCGUCUCACCAGAACGGACCUGACGGCAAGGGACGAAAGCUAGGGGCACGAACCGGAUUAGAUACCCGGGUAGUCCUAGCCGUAAACGAUACUCGCUAGGUGUCGGCCACGGUGCGACCGUUGUCCGUGCCGUAGGGAAGCCGUGAAGCGAGCCACCUGGGAAGUACGGCCGCAAGGAUGAAACUUAAAGGAAUUGGCGGGGGAGCACCACAACGGGUGGAGCUUG